rnacentral:rRNA from 1 species
CAAUAGCGUAUAUUAAAGCUGUUGCGGUUAAAAAGCUCGUAGUUGGAUUUCUGUCAAGUACAACUGGUCCGCCCUCCGGGUGAGCACAUAGUUUGGUCUUGGCAUCUUGCUGGAAAUUGUUGCUGCACUUGGCUGUGUGGCGCAGUGUCCAGCACUUUCACUUUGAGGAAAUUGGAGUGUUUCAAGCAGGCAAUGCCUUUGAACACAGUAGCAUGGAAUAAUUAGAUUGGGCUUUUGCUCCAAUUUGUCGGUUUCUGGAGCUGAGGUGAGAAUUAAUGGGGAUUGUUGGGGGCAUCCGAAUUUAGCCGUCAGAGGUGAAAUUCUUGGAUUUGUUAAAGACGGACUACUGCGAAAGCAUUUGCCAAGGAUGUUUUCAUUG